rnacentral:lncRNA from 1 species
CUCUGGGCGGCGGGGGCCCGGGCAGGCAGCCUGGCACCGGUGCAUCACGUCUGUGCGCUGGAUCCCGUGAGCCCAGGACACUGCAGGAGUAGACACUCCAAGCCUACCUGGCACGACUUAAGUGAAGGGAGAGGCCUCCAAGGGCUCCCUCCUUGUCCCCCUCUGCUGUCCCAGGAUGUCCUAGAAGAGGCGUGUGAACUGUCAGUGACUAUCACUGUCAGUGUACAUCUACUUCAAAUUAGCAAAGACCACACUCCCAUGACAUCACCCACGAGAAAGACUGCAAAUACCACCUACCUGGGGCCUCCACUCCCCAGCCUCUGCUCCAGCUGCUGCUCCUGAAUUAACUCAUUUAGUCUCUAUGCAACUGUGGCAGCUUGAAGAAAGGUCCCUGGGUCUUCCCACUUCUCACAAGGAGAGGGAGUCUUGCUCUCAUCACCUUGAAUCUAGGCCAGUCCUGCGUCUGCUCUUACUAGUAGAAUGUGGUAGAAAUAGGCUGGGGCACUUUCUGGAUCAGGCCUUCAAGACCGGCAAGACUUCCAUUUCUUGGCAUGCCCUUUUGGGAGUCCUGGGACAUGAAGUAAGAAACCUGAUUAGGCUGGGUACGCCUGUAAUCCUAGCUUCUUGGGAGGCUGAGGCAGGAGGAACCCCAGGUUUGAGGCCAGCCUCGGCAACGUAGUGAGAAUACAUCUCAAAAUAAAAUAUAAAAGUGGCUGGGGAUGUAGCUCAGUGGUAGAAUGCCUGGGUUCAAUCCCUAGUACCUAGAACCAUGAAUAAUAAUAAGCAGCAGCAGCAGCCUGUCUAGCCUGGGACUGCCGUGCUCUAGAGAGGCCAUCAGUGAGCACUCUAAUUUGCAGUUUCAGUGGGGCCUAGCCUUUCAGUCAUUCCAGCCAAGAUGCCUGAUACAUGCCUGAAGUCAUCUGGGACCUUCCAGGCCAGCUGACUAUGGCCCGAGUUGAUGCCACGUGGAGAAGAAGCUCUAACCAGCCAAAUUCAGACUGAGUAACCUCCCCACAAAGUCAUCAGAUAAUGGGUGGAGAAAAUGGCUUUAUUAUGGAGCAAUCCGUAAGCAGAGCCACCACUUUGGAGGAGGACACAAUGGAGUGCCAUUUUACAGAUGAGAAGCUGAAGAUGCAGAAAAAGUUAGUAGUUUGUCCAAGGUCACACAGUGCUUAGCAGUAGAGCCAGGAUUCAAAACCCAGAUAGCCUGGCUCUGAAGCCUGAGCUCCCUAAACCUGGUCCUGACCACUCUCACAUCCAUGGCAGAUCCACCCCACCAGAGGCCAAGGCUGCUGGAAGCCAGGGGCAGAAUUUUAGCCCCACUCCUGGCAUGGAGAGGUGCUUAAUGUUUGCUCAGAGUGGAACAGGGUGGAGAAAUGAAGAGAGGGAGAGAUGUGUGGACGAAUGGGUGGAUGGAUGAGUG